UACGUAUGGUGCAAGCGUUAUCCGGAUUUACUGGGUGUAAAGGGUGCGUAGGUGGCAAGGCAAGUCUGAAGUGAAAAUCCGGGGCUCAACCCCGAAACUGCUUUGGAAACUGUUUAGCUAGAGUACAGGAGAGGUAAGUGGAAUUCCUAGUGUAGCGGUGAAAUGCGUAGAUAUUAGGAGGAACACCAGUGGCGAAGGCGACUUACUGGACUGCUACUGACACUGAGGCACGAAAGCGUGGGGAGCAAACAGG
rnacentral:rRNA from 1 species